UUAUAUCUGAUAGCCUAAGGUCACGGCAAGCCCCCACUUUAUUCUUUCCCCUAAGCAUUUCAGAGUUCAGAUUUGGGUGGCAUCUCAAAUGCUUCGCUAAAAAAUUGGUAACAGUGUGCAAGCUGACAUUUCCGGCUUAUAAUGUAUCUAUAUGAUGGUUAAUUUUCAAGCAAUGUUAUGUGAUAAAUGGUCACACUUUGUAGUACCAUUUUACUCCUGCUUCCAAAAAAUAUAUCCCCUAAAGGCUUUUUCAAUACUUUUGAGUCAUGGCAGGAAAGGGCUGAAUGAACAAAUUUGUCAACAUUGAUCGAAGCUGACAUUCAUGUUACCCUUCAGAGGCCUUCUGUGUCGGUUUUCUUCACCCUGCUGCUUCUCAUGUGUUUUCAUGAUUGGUGAUAAGAUGUUUUGAUGUGCAUCUUAGAUUUAUCUUUUGAUUCCCUGAGUAUGGGAAUUUCCAGAUCUGAAGCUUGCCAAAUUAAAUUUUCAGAUUAAUUUUCAGCAACAGGUAGUUUUCUACUCAAGUGCAACAUUGAUAACUCUGAUUAUUUUGACAACAUUGCCUAUACACUACUCCAACUUCAAUUUUUUAUGCUAAUCAAUUAAUAAUCAUGAAAAUAUUUUUCUUUUAGAAAACUUUGAGAUAAUUUUCGAUUAAAUACAAGGAACUCUUUUUGAAGGGCUGUAACCAGACAACAAAGUUGUGAAAAACAUUUGGUAAAUUCUUUCGUCUUGGCAAAUGAGGAUGUAUGUGUCAAAUAGCAUGGCAUAGAACUUUUAAAGUUCUUUCAGUCAUAUUUUGUAUAGUUGUAUACAUAUUGCAUGGAGUAAGCAUUUCAAGAAAACACAUUAAAAGCGAACCUAUAAUUUAAAAAUGCCUGGCCAUAACCUUUAUAUUAAUGUUAUUAAAUAAGAAAGACAUCAAGAAAUAUUUAUACUUUCUGUAUGCAGACAUUUCAGAUCAGUGACUAAAGCCCAUUAACCAAGAAAAUUCUAUUGGGAACAUGUAACUUAGAACUACAAUGAAUAAGAUACAAUUAGAGUUGUAGAGGCAGGAUUAUUUUAGAAGUUUUAUACAAUUAAAAUAACCAUAAUGUAUGUUUUUAUGGGGAGAAAUUUCAAAGCAAUCUUUCAUACAAAAAAAUUACUCAAGAAGUGUGUAAGUUAAAAGACCUCAAAUAUUAAAAACAAAUUCCUAACCAUGAAAGCUUGCAACUUUCAUCAGCUGAAUCUUUUAGCAUCCACUUACUAGGCUAAUUACAACAAUAAAUAAAUUACAUUACUGCUAAUUAUAUCUUCCUAUUCUUACUCUCCUUCAUCCAAGAUGUGAGGGGAUUGUUCUUGCUGGAAUAAAAACAGCAAAUAUACAAUUAACACAGUUCAUGAUCAAUUCAAAUAUUGGUGAGUAUUUUUUUCUUAAGCAAAAACAAUACACAGUUAAUAAUGAUAAAGCAGUUGACAACUAAUUGCAUAUUAUAUGUGAUUCAUCUUCUGUGAGCAAUUGGCCUGGCAAUAAAAUGACUUCUCUUCUGUUUUUCCUAAAGGUCUGAAAAUCAACUGAUCAGUCUCCCACUGAUUUUGUCUUGCAGCUUUCUUUAUUCAGGACUCAAAAAAAUAAAGCCCAGAGAGGUCAUUUAAUAAAACAGCUGGACAGUUGCUCCACAGCAAUUAAUUUGUCAUUAAAAGGAGCCAAAGAAAUGGUCCCACCAAAUGUAAAAUAAAUAUGAAAAAGUGUUAAAAUAUUCUUAGACAAUUAAGCAAUAAGACUAAACAAAAAAAACCCCAAAACCUUAAUCUUAGAAAUCUUCUUUAUCUUUCCAUAAAUUUGUAAAUUGUGUGAAAUUAGUGACAUUUGUGUGAACUGUUGGAUUUGAGAUACAGAAAAGCUAGAAACCAUCUAUGCAUUCUUUAGGUUAAACAUUUAUAUUGUUAUAUCUUUUGUUUCUGAAGACUCUGAAGGUCCUUAUUUCUUUCUUAACACCUAGUAUGAACUCAGCCAUGUUUGGUUUCUGAUCUGGUCUAAAGAUUGAAAAUUCUAGACCCAGACUGCAAGCACAGAUUAGAGACUGGGAAAAAGCCAUUGGUUCCCAGUAUUCAUGAUAUUCUGAAUUUAAGUGUAUUGCUGAGUGUGAUCUUGACUCACUGAAGCUUAAUUUGCUUAAGUUACAGUUCUGUACAUGUAGCGUAAAAAAAAAUAGAUGGUCUGUGGGACUCAGUGUAGGUAUUUAAGGAAAUAUGCAAUGGAUUUGCAGGGUAGAUGAACACUUCAUAGUGAAAUGUCAAUGAGGUGGAAAAUCUGGUUUUGGGACAUGGUAACAUAAUUACAAUGCUAAUCAAGGACAAUGCAAAACUCUCCAGUAAAGUUGACAAGAUUGAGAAUUAAUCCAGGAUUAAGCAUUUCAAGAUUACUGGUGUCCCAGUGAGGAAAAGCCUAAGAAUUUAGUAAUCUUUAUGGCAGCACUUCAGAAAGUUGAAGUAAAAUAUUUAUUUUCAGAAUUAUUUUGGGAUGUUUCACCAUAAUAAUUUGUGUCCAUCUUCAUAGGUUCUCUCAAAACUGGUCUAAUUUUCACAAAACACUUUCUUCAGAAGCACCACAAUAUGCAAAGGAAAAUCCAGGUUGUUCGUACAUAUGCAUAUACUGAUACAUCUAUUCUUCCUCCUCUCUUACUUGGUUUUAAAAAACCACCUCUAUUCAAAUAUAUAUAAAUAUAACUUUCCAUACUAAUUUUAAUCUGUAGACCAACAAUCAGACCCUGGAAACAGAGGAACUGCAGAGAUUAACACUCUCUCCCUUAUUAGCUGUCCAUUAGAUAGGUUAUCAGAUUUCUAAAAUAAAACCACAAGGGAUUUAUAUGUGUUAUCAAUCAUGCAUAACUGCCACAGAAAGGCUAAUUACACCUUUUAUUCACCAUUAUCAUUCCACUUUUAAAAUCCAGCUAAAUGAUAACAAUUAUAAAUAUAAAAUAUGCUUGCAAUUCAAAUUUUACUCUUCACAUAAAAGCCAGCUCAGCACAAUUAUUUGUCUCCCCACUGAAAAGCAUGAAUUGAUGGCAACAUUCCCAGAUGAGUUUAUCUUUUUAUUGCCUCAAACUUUUUUUGUGAAGCAUCAUUUUAUAAGUUCAUCUUAUUGCAUGUUACAUGGAAAUUGAGGUUGACAAAUGACACAAGUCUCAAAAAAUGGAAGGCUGUAUUGCUAGCCUUUUCUGUUAACCCUCACAAAAAAUAGCACCUAUAUCACAGGGAGACUGAAUUUUUUUUUUAUUAUUCUCAUCUAGGAAGAGUAUAGUUUAUUUAUACUUUAAUGAUGAAUGCUAUUGAGAAAUUAUAUGAUUGCAUUCUACUGGAAAGGCAUAAGUUUUUGCUUUUUUAAUGCUAUAAAGUCCUAAAUUGGCAUGACAUUUGGGCUUGAUGAAAAGUCUGUGUCAGAUCAGACUGAUGUAUGCCUGUAUGUCUUUUACCUACCCAGAACAAACUACAGUGAUUGUUUAGUAGUCAUAAAGUAGGUUCUACCACAGGAAAAAAAAGGGGAAGAGGAACAAACAGUAUAAAGUUUACAUUUAAUUUCCAAAAUCCUGGUAUAAGUCAAAGUAGAAGACAGCACCUGUUCACUUAGAUUAAUUAAUUUAUUUUCUAUUAGAUGUAUUUUUUACUAAUGCAAAAAAAAUGAGCUGAAUAUUAUUUCAAUAAAGAUGGGAUAGGAGGUAAGUCACUAGCCAUGAAAAGACCUGUUGAUAAAUAAGAAGAGAAGUGUGGGUAGUUAUCACACUUCAGAGUUUGUGGUCAGAAUAAACCAAUGCCCCUAACUUCUUUAGGCUGCCAGCUGCCAACUGAGAGGACACUUUGGACUUUCAGGAAGAAGAUAAAUGACUUUAAUAUCUAACUCAUACUCUAAGAUAAAAUUUUUCCAUGUCAGUAACAUAUUUUUUGUCAAAAAAUUCUGUCAACGCCUCUAGAAUUGAUAUAUUAUUAUUUAUUAAGCCAGCACCAGAAUCCAAGUACUCGUUCUAGUAUUAGACACUAUGAUUCAUAUCAGGGUACUUGAAAUUUUCAAAAGCUGGACAUACUGGAAUCUCAACAUUCUAAAAAGAAGAAAGGGAAAAAUUAUGUUUGACUGGUUCUGAUGGAUCCCUUUAGCAAUCAAGUACAGUGAAAGAGCUGUACCACAAAAAACUAACACAGCGAUGUAUUACUAUAUUAGUUGAUGAAGUAGAAUUAUAGAUACCCAGGAUGGGGGGAAUUGUGCAAGGAGUACACCUGAGUCACAACACUUAAUUUACCUACCCAUUGGCUGUAAAGCUAAGAAUAGAUUUAAGGGACUUAAGAAAGAUAAUGUCAUUAUUUUGAAGAUAUGAGAGGUCAGAAUGAAAAGAAUAUACUGCACAUUUUGGCAAGAUGGUUUGGGAAAAGGGGGGAACUGUGUUGAAAAGCAGCUAAAUAUCACCAAAUACACAGACAGGUACAGCGUGCAAAACUGUAGGUGGGGGUCAAUGACUUGCUGUCAUGGGCGAGAUGAAAGGUUGGGCAGAGAUAGGUCAUAAGGACUUAAAAUAUGAAAGCAAAUAAUUUAUUCUUGGUGCAGCAGGGAACGGAAAGACGGUGGAGAGAAGUAAAAAGAGGAUUAACAAGAGCUAAUCCUAGAUAUGAAGGUCAUCAGAAAUACUUUGAUAAAGAACAGCUGCACAGUGAAGGUUACAAGCAGACUUCUGUUAUGUGCUAAAAUGGUUUUUUUUCUCUUUAUUUUGCAUAGCAAAAUAUUUUUAAAUUGUUUUCAAGCAACAAUGAAAAAUUUGCACAUGCUCUGCAGACCAGUGACCAGGCUAUGGAAUACCAUACAUUUGAAAAUAAUCCCUUUUGAAAAAUAAUUCUUCAAUUCAUCUAGCAUCUUUUGGAGUCACUUCAUUAAAAAAAAAACAAAAAGAUAAAGUUUCAAACAAAGAAACCUUGACAUUAGAUUUAUGCUUUCACUCACAAGUGUGAAAACUAGACAAUAGUCAAUGUGCAUCCAUAUCUAUCUAUCUAUCUGUCUUACUAUCAACCUUUCUAUCUUUCUAUCCAUCUAUCUUUCUAUCUUUUCUAUCCAUCUAAACACAGUGAAUACUAUUUUAAAUAUUAUAACAGCCACAAGAAAAAGAUGUCAUCAGAGACAAGGUGGGAGACUAGAGAUAUGUUCAUAUCUGUAGGGAAUGAGUAAAUGUCUGUUUUCUUUUGAAUUAAAGGGUUGUGCUUGCCGGCUGGGAGAGCUAGGAUAGACAGGGCUCUGAUUCCCUUCCUACAGAGAGUAGUUGGUGAGUCUGACACCUUGUGUUUUAAACUUCUGAAUUCAGAAAAAUUAAAAAACUUACUUGUAAAAUUAUGUUUUCCCUAAUAUAGAUAUUUGUAGGGAAGCUUUUGACCCUGGAGAGUUUUUAGCAGAAUAUGGUUUAGAGUUAUUACAGCCUACAAGAAUGAACAUGUCUUUUGCCUUUAAAGGUCAAGAAAAUCAGUACAGUAUUAUCUCAAUGUUCAUCCUCUGUGAAUACUCUUUCAUACAUGCAUACCCUUACUUUUAUAAAAGCAGACUAAUUUUCUGAGUAGAAUGGCAAUUUACUAGGAUGUCUGAGCCUCCUAAUAAACUUCAAAAAGUAAAUGACUGCCUGAUAAGAUUUUUUCUUUCAUUGUGUAACAACAUUUUUACUCAGUUUCAAGGGUAACUGUCUGUAAUCUAAUCCUGCUUUUAAAAAUAUCUUCCCUGUAGAGAUUAUGUCAAUUAACUACAGAAAUACUCUUGAGCUUCAAGAGUGUCUGAACUUAUGUGCUCAAGUGAGCUGAUCAUUUAUGGCAUGGUAUGUCUCAAAUGUCUGCUGUUUUUGUGAAGUUUAAUGUUUACUGAAUAUCACAGAUUUUUUGUACUGGGGAACUAUUCAGUAAAUUAUUAAUUACAUAGCUGGAGCAUCCCAGUGGUUUUGAGAGCUGUUUCCCCAAUAAUAUUUAUAUAAUUUAUGUUUGGUUUAGAAACAUUAUUUUUCUGUCAGUUCUAUAUUCUGAUUCACAUCAACAUGCACCAAUCUGAAAAUACCAUAGAUGGAGAUGACGGGUUUUUCUUGUUUUCCUCUCAUUUCACACCUUCAAGUCUCACCCAAGAAAAAAUGAAUUUCUGAAAUUUUGAUUGUAGAAGGCACUUGAAGGUUUAAUGAAUGCAACUCUUGACCACUAAUAAAAUAGUAUGAUUGCAUUUAUAACUUGGAUUCUCAGGGAAUGGAUGAUUUAGCUGUACUUAGUGAUAUUAUGGCCAGCUGCUGUUAAUGUUAUACAAUAUUAAGGACAGAUUACUUCAACUCCUGCAGAGCCGCUGCCUUGUAGAGCUGGAGUUCAGUGCUCCUUGUUGGUCCCUUCCAACUCAGGAUAUUCUAUGAUUCUAUGAUUCUGUAAUGGACAGGGUUUCAAGCAAGCAAUAAAAACACCUGGAGAAAUGAAAUAUUUAGUGAAAGACUAGGAUUCAGAGUGAGGUAUCUUUGUCAUUGUUCUGAGAUUUAACUUUUCGAAGAUAGAGGUUUUCUAACAAUGCACAAACCAAACAUCACUUAUUAAAGUAAAAACAGAUUAAUAUAGUUCAGAAAAUUGUGUUAUGCAAAUAAUUCUUAUUUUACUCUUAAACUGUAAGUGUAUAUUCCAAAAUGAUAAUAAGACAAAACAACUUCUAUUUUACUCAGUGAGUGUUCAAAAGUGUAUAGAAUCAAAGAAUCACAGAAUAUGCUGGGUUGGAAGGGACCCAUCAGGAUCAUGAAGUCCAACUUCUGGCCCUGUACAGGACACCCCAAGAGUCAUAGCAUGUUCCUGAGAGUGUUGUCCAAACACUUCUUGAACUCUGUCAGGCUUGGUGCUGUGACCAGUUCCCUGGGGAACUUGUUCCAGUGUGCAACCACCCUCUGGGUAAAGAACUGAUAUCCAAGAUAAACCACCCCUAACUCAGCUUCACGCCAUUUCCUCAAGAUCUAUCACUGGUCACAAGAGUUAAGAGAUCACUACCUACCCCUCCACUUCCUCUUGUGAGGAUCUUGAAGACCGCAAUGAUGUCUCUCUUCAGAUACUUCUUCUCCAGGCUGAACAGUCCAAGUGACCUCAGCCACUCCUCAUGCAGCUUCCCCUCAAUGCCCUUCACCAUCCUCAUGGCCCUCCUUGGGAUGCUCUCCAAGAGCUUAAUAUCUUUCUUAUAUUGUGGCACCCAAAACUGUCCCCAGCACUUGAGGUGAGGCUACCCCAGCUCAGAGCAGAGCAGUACAAUCCCCUCCCUUGCCCAACUGGUGAUGCUGUGCCUGAUACCCCCCAGGACACACUUGGGCCUCCUGGCUGCCAGGGCACUGCUGACUCAGAUUCAGCUUACCAAAAACCUUAAAUUAAAGGCAAUCCAAAAGUAUUCUAUCUUCCUUGGUCACAUUUUUCUUUGUUCUUUUCUGGACGACUAUUUGUGUUCUUGAUGCUGUACAUCCACCGAGAUACACACAGUUUUUAUUUCAUUUAAAUUUGUUUACUGCUUCUUGUCCACUGUUUAGAACUGAGGAAAUAUAAUUAAGUGUAUUCUUUAAAAUCAGUUCUUACAUAUAAUAUUCCAAUAGUAUUGGAGUUCAUCUUGGAAUUUUUAUAAUUUGUAUAGAAUAGAGCAAAAUCUGCAAAUGUCCUGCUUUAUUGAGUUAAUACAAUUUAAACUACUAACAUGAAGUAGCAAACUAUUGUCCAGUUAGUUUCCCAUCAACUUAAUAUUAUUUUGUCUACAUGAAAAAAGUAUGUAGUUAUCAAAUAACUGUGUAAUCUUGUCCUUUUAGAUGAUCUUCAGUUUUUGGCACAUCAAAGCUGUACCUGUCACCUGUACCUGGUUUGAGUAAACCAUUAUCUUAUUCUAUUGGCUUUUUACCUUGACCAUACAAACAUUUACAACAGUCCUCAUAGCAUUUUCUAGUAAAAUCAUUAUUUCUUCAAUGUUUGAGCACCUUACCCAGUGUCUGCCUAUUUCUUUUUAUUCCUCUUAUCUGCCUAGACCCCUGCAUUAGAAAGAAAUUUAUGAAAACUGUAAUCUGAAGUCUCAUAGAAUAGUGGCAUUAUUAAAAUUUGAAACAGUGCAACAAUUUUAUUUGUGCUGUCAAUUUCUUAGUAUCACAUAAUCUUUUACUCAAAAUAAUGUUUAACAUGCUGAAUUCUCACUGGAAUUCAGCAUAUAGAGUUGAUAGCAUUACAAAAACAGUUUCUGUCUGCAUAAUAUUGUCCAUUAAAUGCUUUUAUAAAAGAUUUUAAGCAUACUGACAUAAUGAUGCCUUCAGAUGUAAUGUUGGCCGUAUUAAGGUAAUGUUUAUAAUUUGGGAAAGGAAGGAUGAUUGGGGUAGACAUAUGAUGAUGGUUUUGUUUUUCACUAUUGAACAUGAUGAUGAUGAUAAUGCUUUCUCAGCUAGGUUUUCUUAAUCAGAUUUCUUUUGCAAAUUAAAAAAAAUUGUGAAAAAUAUGAAAAAUUCAGUAUAAGAUGUAUGAUUGCACUGAGCACUUCUUUAAGUCAAAGCUUUGCAUACAAUCCAAUUGCUUUAUCAACUCGCUUCCUAUUAAGAGCAGUGAAAAAUAGGCUAUUAAAAUAUCAUGUGAAAGCGACAAAUAGUGAAUCCAGAUAUACUUAUGAAUCAUUACAGUUUUAUUGUAAGUGGAAAUAGAGCUGAAAUACUCUAUGAAAAAAAUGUUCUCUGGCAUUUUCUAGUGAACUAGAUUAACAGCAAAAUUAGAAAUUGCAUAAAUUUCUACUGAGCUUUAGAAUCAGCUACAGCCUGGUCACAGAUAUUGGUCUUCAUUCCUGUUCAUUACUUUCAAGUUAUUGUAUUAUAGUUCUUGAAAUCAGAAGAUUCCAGAGGCAAGUAUUAAAGAUCUAAUUUCAAAUAAUUUUUCAUCAAAGUCAGCUAGGCUAGGAUUCUUGUAUAUUUUUUGUAUUUUCAAAAAUGUUCAUUUAGUUUUCCGCUACAGAUGGUACUAGCAAAAGACAGAAGGGAUUAUAGGAUACACUUUUUGUGCCUUCUUCUCAGGGAUAGCUGUACUUAGACCGGCCUUAAUCAGAAUGUGAUAACGAGAUGAAUUAUUUCACACCUCUUGCCCAGUGUAAAACUAAAACUGUAAAAUGUUCAUUUGAAAAUUAUUUCAUUCUUCCAUCUAGCCUUACAAGUAGGUUUGUGCUGAACACAAGGUUGAUAAUACAGAGAUGUUUUGUUGUUGCUGAGCAGGGAUCACAGAAAGCCAGGGCCUUUUCUGCUUUUUGCAUGGCCCUGCUGGUGUGGAGACUGGUACAUGGGAAGAUGGGAGAAGACACGUCCAGGACAGGUGACCUCCAAAGGGAUAUUCCAGACCAUAUGGCAUCAUACUCUGUAUAUAAAGUGGGGUGAAGAAAGAGGAAAAGGGGGAACAUUUGGAAUGGUGACAUUUGUCUUCCAAAGAUACUGUUGAGUGUGAUGUGGCCCUGCACUUUUGGGGAUGGCCUGUCCAUGGGAAGGAGUGAAUUGAUUCUUUGUUUGUUCUGCUUGUGUAUGUGACUUUUGCUUUCCCUAUUAAACUCUCUUUAUCUCAA